GACGAACGCUGGCGGCGCGCUUAACACAUGCAAGUCGAGCGAAGCGGCGGUCGGGUGAGUAACACGUGAGUAAUCUGCCUAAGACAUUGGGAUAGCCUCGGGAAACCGGGAUUAAUACCAAAUGGUCUAAGAUGGACUCGCGUCACCUUAGCUAGUUGGUGAGGUAACGGCCCACCAAGGCGACGAUGGGUAGCCGGCAUAUGAGGGUAAGAGGCCGCGAUGGAGCUGAGAGACGAGCCAACCGCUGCGGGAGGCAGCAGUGGGGGAUAUUGCGCAGGGGGGGGAGCUCUGAUGCAGCAAAGCCGUGUGAACGAAGAGGACUUUCGAGUCGUAAAGUGCUUUUAAAUAAUAAGCGGUACCAUUAGAAAAAGCCCCGGCUAACUACGUGCCAGCAGCCGCGGUAAUUC
rnacentral:rRNA from 1 species